rnacentral:rRNA from 1 species
CGCGUGAGUAACCUGCCCUGGGUGGGGAAUAACAGCUGGAAACAGCUGCUAAUACCGCAUAAUGCAGUUGGGCCGCAUGGCUCUGACUGCCAAAGAUUUAUCGCUCUGGGAUGGACUCGCGUCUGAUUAGCUAGUUGGUGGGGCAACGGCCCACCAAGGCGACGAUCAGUAGCCGGACUGAGAGGUUGGCCGGCCACAUUGGGACUGAGACACGGCCCAAACUCCUACGGGAGGCAGCAG